AGCGAACGCUGGCGGCAGGCUUAACACAUGCAAGUCGAGCGGGCCCUCCGGGGUCAGCGGCGGACGGGUGAGUAACGCGUGGGAACGUGCCUUCUGGUUCGGAAUAACUCAGGGAAACUUGAGCUAAUACCGGAUACGCCCUUUUGGGGAAAGGUUUACUGCCGGAAGAUCGGCCCGCGUCUGAUUAGCUAGUUGGUGGGGUAACGGCCUACCAAGGCGACGAUCAGUAGCUGGUCUGAGAGGAUGAUCAGCCACACUGGGACUGAGACACGGCCCAGACUCCUACGGGAGGCAGCAGUGGGGAAUAUUGGACAAUGGGCGCAAGCCUGAUCCAGCCAUGCCGCGUGAGUGAUGAAGGCCUUAGGGUUGUAAAGCUCUUUUAUCCGGGACGAUAAUGACGGUACCGGAGGAAUAAGCCCCGGCUAACUUCGUGCCAGCCGCCGCCGUAA
rnacentral:rRNA from 1 species